GUGGGGAAUAUUGGGCAAUGGGCGCAAGCCUGACCCAGCAACGCCGCGUGAAGGAAGAAGGCUUUCGGGUUGUAAACUUCUUUUACCAGGGACGAAACAAAUGACGGUACCUGGUGAAUAAGCCACGGCUAACUACGUGCCAGCAGCCGCGGUAAUACGUAGGUGGCGAGCGUUAUCCGGAUUUAUUGGGGGUAAAGGGCGUGUAGGGGGGACAGCAAGUCAGAUGUGAAAACCAGAGGCGCAACCUCUGGCCUGCAUUUGAGACUGUGGUUCUUGAGUGUCGGAGAGGUAAUCGGAAUUCCGUGUGUAGCGGUGAAAUGCGUAGAUAUACGGAGGAACACCAGUGGCGAAGGCGGAUUACUGGACGAUAACUGACGCUGAGGCGCGAAAGCGUGGGGAGCAAACAGGAUUAGAAACCCGAGUAGUCC
rnacentral:rRNA from 1 species